GGCUAGUCUGAUGGUAGUGGGUUAUCAGAACUUAUUAACAUUAGUGUCACUAAAGUUGGUUUACAACCCUCCACUGUUAAAUUUGUCUGACUUUAA
rnacentral:Y_RNA from 1 species